CCUGUCCAGCGCUCAGUGCACGUCAGCACUUUCUCUCCUCCUCUUAUCCCCUCCCUGUCAUUUUUUUCUUCUUUUCGGGUGUUGGGCCAGCCACCACCAACACGACAGGAUAGGGAGCAGAAAAGACCAAAGGCAGUAGGAAAAACAAAAAGAGAGAAUCUUUUAUUUUCAGGAUGAGAAAUGCUCUGUACAGAGAUGUGAGUGUUCAGGUGUCAGUAUGUGCUCGAAGGAAAACAUCCUUUCGUAAACCCUCUGGCAGGAAGUUUACCUUCUGCCUUGCUAGAGGACUUUGCUUUAAAGAGGAAGAGAGAGAAGACAAAAGAUGAAGGCAAGUAGAGAGGAGUUAUAAAGGACUUGUACAGCUGUCUCUACACUCUAUCAGUUCACAGUGAGAAAAUACAUGUGCACAGACAGUGCUGGUCAGGAAUGUAAUGCAGUAAACAUAUUUUGUCCUAGAGGAGUAAAGUAGGAGAUUUUUGUUUAUUAUCAUCAAGUCCCAUUAAAACUAAAACAAAUCUGCUGAAAUGACUGCCUGUGUGGUCAAAGCUUCCUUUUCCUUUGUGUCAUAAAAUUUUGAGGAACGCAUUAAUGAGCCACACUUCACACUGAGUGUCAUGCUCCUCUGUUAUGAUGAACACGGGCUCUGUUGUAUUUUAUCAGGGUAAAUCCCUCAGCCAUUGUUCUGUUGCUGCAAGAACAGCAACAAAUGUGCGUCUGACGGUGUAAAACGCUUGCUAGAAAGUGCACUGCUUAGCUGUUUUUUCAAAUUAAAAGAAGAAAAAUAGCAUCAACCUUGGGAUUUGUUGAAAAAUACAGAGAAACUCUGCUUUUAUCCUUCAGUGGGUUGUUUAGUAUCUGAGGAUAUUCUCCCACACAGCAGUCAGGUAAACUGAAUGAAAGUGAUUUAUGUCUCUGCUUACAGUUUAAAGGUAUGGUCCAAUAGUGAGCUUAGUGAGAUCCAACACCUGCCACAUAGUUGAAGAAAACACACGUUAUCCACAGUUUAAUGUUAAAACAUUAAAAACCUCUGUGGGCUGUUUAAGGCUCCGUGUUUGGAAAGACACGGCAUAUUUUGUACUUCUGCACGCCGGCAAAGUGGAUUUUAAAGCAAACACUGAAUAUGUGAUUAAAGUGCAGUUUUAAUUCAAGUGUUGCUUGAAUUUACUGCUUAGUAAUUACUGCCUUUUUCAUCCGCACUCCCCCAUUUUCAGAGGCUCAAAAUUAAUUGGACUUACUAACAUAUUAUUAAAUAUAUAUGGACUUAUUUUUAAGCACUUGUAUGAAAGUUUUUUGUAGUCACUGCCUGAAGUCUAGAACCCAUGGAUAUCACCAAAUGCUGGGCUUCCUCUCUUGAAAUGAGUCUCACUUUCUUCAGUUUUGUAUUUAAUAAGUGAAAAGCAUGCUUUUUGGGGCUGAGAUCAGGUCACUGACUUUUGCAGUUUGCCUUUGGCCAUUUGCACUGUGAAGCGCUCGACUGAGUUUGGCAGAAAAUGUGGUAGGCUUCAAAUUAUGAGCUGCUUUUCUCCUUCUUCCCAUCAUUCUGGUACAAAUUCAUCUUAGUUUCAUCUGUUCAAAGAUGUUUUUUUUCUCUAGGAUGCUGCAGACUCACGUCCAGUCUAAAAAUGGGGGAAUACGUAUAAAAGUGGUUGUCACAUUGUAAUUGUUUGAUUUGAAAUCCUCUGUAGUGGUGUAUAGACGCAAAACUAUAACAGUUGUGUCUCGACCAUCAAAUGAUGGACUUUGCUGUAUUUGCAUUACAUCCUAAUAGACAACCACUCGUAUUAUCUCUUUCAAAAGCAACACACAGACUAGUUUGAACAAUUUCCAUUCAUCCCUCCAUCUUUUUUAACCACUUAUCCAAUUCUGAUUUGUGUGGGAGUUUGAACAUUUUUUAGUAGCUGUGCACUAGAAUUGUACUCACAUAGAAAUUCACAUUGAAAUGCUCAGAUAAUAGCAUCAGUGAAACACUGGGAGACUCUGAGCUGUUAAAGGUGGGCUCUAUCCUAGCUGUUUCAAUGACUCAUCCUUCCCUUAUAAUCUUUGUGCUCAAAAUCCCCGCAUCAUUAAACUCCCAUUAUUUCAGUAUAGCUUACUCCAUAGUGAGGAUCAAAUUGAGAUUUCAGACACUUAUAAAUUCUCCUUUCCCAUCUCCGCUGUCACUGACUAAAUGUAGGGUCGCACGACUUUAGUAUUUUUCACAAUGUUACAUUUCCAUUCAGUUCUGGGACUUGUUAAGUGCACUCGUGUUGUGUUAUAUAACAACGAGGGAACACUUUUAGAUACAUCCUGUGCAAGUACAAUGAAAGCACAUUGGACCUUUUUCUUUUACAAUUUCCUCCUCUUUUUACCGUAAAUUGCUGAGAAACACUCAAAGUUAGGGAAGCGAGUCUAACUUUGUCGAGACCGGAGUGGAGAAGCUCCAUUAAUCCAUAGAUAUUUGUAAACAGGACUAACUUUGCAUUCUGCAUACCUUCAAACUGUUUGCAGACACCCAAAUAUAAAGCAUAUAUAAAAGGUAGAUAAAGCUACAGAGUCUAAAAGGUGCAGCCAAUACAUAACUGUCUCAGACCAAAAAUAGUCUAUGGGGAAAACAAAUAUCCUACUCACUUUAUCUUUGAUUUCAAUAAACACUCUUGAUGAGUUUAUGAUUGUGAUUGCUACUUUCAAUUCUUGGAUAAUACGAUGUUUAUUUAGUAAAAUAUGAUCUCCUCACUGUCCUUAAAGGUAGAUAAAGCAGGGUGUGUGUGCAUUAGGGCGUGCCUGUCCUGUGACUGACAAGUUGCUACCCUACGAGCAUGCAGCAUCCCUCAGUUUCUCAGUCACAUCCUCCCUCCUCAUCGUUUCCAGUUUUAAAUCAUCAAGAUGGCAAACAGCCAGCAUGCUCAGCUCAGGCUCUGGACUGGGAUGGGGACUUUGCUAACCAUCGCUGACAUCACGAUUACUACAUUAAUCUUUUAUAUGCGUUCUGUAGAGACAAUUCAUUUUUUGUUUGACUGGACUUGCACUGUAUGGACAAAAGCACUGGCACACUGCCUCUACAAGAGCUGCUCGGCCAUGGAAACCCAUGCUAUGAAGCUCCCAGCGAACAGAUAUUGUGCUGAUAUUAACGUCAGGGGAGGUUUAUCUCUCUGCAGAGGAUUGGCAACUUUUACGGACUAUGCACCUCAGCGUUCAACAACACCGCUCUGUAACUUCAUGUGUCAGAGUUGCUGUGCUUCCUUCCACUUCUACACUACAAUAAUACAAAUUACUUCAGGAAGGGCAUCCGUAUGGUUCCUCUGAGGGUUCACAUGCACUCCAACUAAAAUAAAAAAAAACAACCCACCAGCAAAUAGGAAAAAGCACACGAAA
ensembl:lncRNA